UACGAAGGGUGCAAACGUUGCUCGGAAUUAUUGGGCGUAAAGCGCACGUAGGCGGCAUUGCAAGUCGGAUGUGAAAUCCCUCGGCUUAACCAAGGAAGUGCAUCCGAAACUGCAGUGCUUGAGUACUUAAGAGGAUCGCGGAAUUCCCGGUGUAGAGGUGAAAUUCGUAGAUAUCGGGAGGAACACCAGUGGCGAAGGCGGCGAGCUGGGAAGAUACUGACGCUGAGGUGCGAAAGCGUGGGGAGCAAACAGG
rnacentral:rRNA from 1 species